GACGUAGGGCGCGAGCGUUGUCCGGAUUUAUUGGGCGUAAAGAGCUCGUAGGCGGUCUGUCGCGUCGGAUGUGAAAACCCAGGGCUCAACUCUGGGCCUGCAUUCGAUACGGGCAGACUAGAGUACGGCAGGGGAGACUGGAAUUCCUGGUGUAGCGGUGAAAUGCGCAGAUAUCAGGAGGAACACCGGUGGCGAAGGCGGGUCUCUGGGCCGUAACUGACGCUGAGGAGCGAAAGCGUGGGGAGCGAACAGG
rnacentral:rRNA from 1 species